rnacentral:rRNA from 1 species
UACGUAGGGUGCAAGCGUUGUCCGGAAUUAUUGGGCGUAAAGAGCUCGUAGGCGGUGUGUCGCGUCGGCCGUGAAAACCUGCAGCUUAACUGUGGGCUUGCGGUCGAUACGGGCAUCACUGGAGUUCGGCAGGGGAGACUGGAAUUCCUGGUGUAGCGGUGAAAUGCGCAGAUAUCAGGAGGAACACCGGUGGCGAAGGCGGGGUCUCUGGGGCCGAUACUGACGCUGAGGAGCGAAAGCGUGGGGAGCGAACAGGA